rnacentral:rRNA from 1 species
GACGUAGGGUGCGAGCGUUGUCCGGAAUUACUGGGCGUAAAGAGCUCGUAGGUGGUUUGUCGCGUUGUUCGUGAAAACUCACAGCUUAACUGUGGGCGUGCGGGCGAUACGGGCAGACUUGAGUACUGCAGGGGAGACUGGAAUUCCUGGUGUAGCGGUGAAAUGCGCAGAUAUCAGGAGGAACACCGGUGGCGAAGGCGGAUCUCUGGGCCGUAACUGACGCUGAGGAGCGAAAGCAUGGGGAGCGAACAGG